UGUGUGGGAUGACGAGGAAAGCCCAUGUGAAGCGACUGUCUCCUGCCUGUUUAUUGAGGGCUCCGGAGUGCUCUUCAAAACCAUCUUCCUGCCCUUUUCGGCAGACAGCAGCAUCUCAGGGAUGCCUUUGCCUCCCAGAGGGGCCGGAGGUGGGCAGGGAACAGAAACCUCAAAGAGUCCUGCAGCUCUCUCAGCGAGAAGCCGCCACAGCCCUUCUCGAGGCGUGCGCCCGAAAUGCACUUCUUCUAGCUGGAGGCCAAAGAGGCGAGGCACCGCGACUCACACCUGUAAUCCUAGCACUGUGGGAGGCCAAGGUGGGCGGAUCACCUGAGAUCAGAAGUUGGAAACCAGCCCGGCCAACAUGGUAAAACCCCAUCUCUAAUAGAAAUACAAAAAUUAGCCAGAAAUCACUUGAACCCAGAAAGCAGACAUCGCAGCGAGCCGAGAUUGUGCCACUGCACUCCAGCCUGGGAACGUCUGACGAUGGGAACGUUGAUCUUAAUCAUGCCAGGUGAAAAGCUUGAGGAGCCGUGCGCACAGCAGGUGAAAUGAUCAUCAAAGAAUGGGCUGCGGCAGGCUGGACGGUAACGAA
rnacentral:lncRNA from 1 species